AACACACACACAUAGAGAAAAUCCCAUUAAUUAGAAAUGAAAACUGAAAUGGUUUUACAAACUGAGAUUGCUUUGUAUAAUUUUAGACAGAAAAAUAUUAGUUUGUCAUCGAUUGAUUCUGUAGACAAAAUACCAAGUAGAGAACAGGGAAUACACCUGAAAUUUAUAGUUCAAUUCUUUGGAUACAAAAUGACUCCGAAUUGAAUAAUCAUGUUUAUAGAUCUCGGAACUCAGAGAAACUUCAAAAACCUCAAAAUUAGCACAAACAAAAAACACUAAAAUAUAGUCAGAAAAAAAAAUCACAUAAACAAAGCAAAAUCAACAAAAUAUAGCCCCCAAAAAAAUAGCACUUCAACAAAUUAACAAAUCAAUUAAUCGGAAUUAACAUAUGGAGAAGAAGCAAACUAGCUAGCAUAGGAUCAUGAUAAAAAGGUGCAAAUUAGUCAUGGCAUAUAUAAGUAUAUAAAGCACUUGAAUUUUCAAGU
rnacentral:lncRNA from 1 species